ACGCCGCGUGAGGGAUGAAGGCCUCUGGGCUGUAAACCUCUUUUCUCAAGGAAGAAGAUCUGACGGUACUUGAGGAAUAAGCCACGGCUAAUUCCGUGCCAGCAGCCGCGGUAAUACGGGAGUGGCAAGCGUUAUCCGGAAUUAUUGGGCGUAAAGCGUCCGCAGGCGGCCUCGAAAGUCUGUCGUUAAAGCGUGGAGCUUAACUCCAUUUAAGCGGUGGAAACUACGAGGCUAGAGUGUGGUAGGGGCAGAGGGAAUUCCCGGUGUAGCGGUGAAAUGCGUAGAUAUCGGGAAGAACACCAGUGGCGAAGGCGCUCUGCUGGGCCAUAACUGACGCUCAUGGACGAAAGCCAGGGGAGCGAAAGGGAUUAGAUACCCCUGUAGUCCUGGCCGUAAACGAUGAACACUAGGUGUCGGGGGAAUCGACCCCCUCGGUGUCGUAGCUAACGCGUUAAGUGUUCCGCCUGGGGAGUACGCACGCAAGUGUGAAACUCAAAGGAAUUGACGGGGGCCCGCACAAGCGGUGGAGUAUGUGGUUUAAUUCGAUGCAACGCGAAGAACCUUACCAGGGCUUGACAUCCUGCGAAUCCCUUGGAAACUUGGGAGUGCCUUCGGGGAGCGCAGAGACAGGUGGUGCAUGGCUGUCGUCAGCUCGUGUCGUGAGAUGUUGGGUUAAGUCCCGCAACGAGCGCAACCCACGUCUUUUAGUUGCCAGCAUUAAGUUGGGCACUCUAGAGAGACCGCCGGUGAUAAACCGGAGGAAGGUGUGGAUGACGUCAAGUCAUCAUGCCCCUUUACGUCCUGGGCUACACACGUACUACAAUGCUACGGACAAAGGGCAGCAAACUCGCGAGAGCUAGCAAAUCCCAUAAACCGUGGCUCAGUUCAGAUCGUAGGCUGCAACUCGCCUACGUGAAGGAGGAAUCGCUAGUAAUCGCAGGUCAGCAUACUGCGGUGAAUACGUUCCCGGGCCUUGUACACACCGCCCGUCACACCAUGGAAGUUGGCCACGCCCGAAGUCGUUACUCCAACCCGCAAGGGAGGAGGAUGCCGAAGGUGGGGCUGAUGACUGGGGUGAAGUCGUAACAAGGUAGCCGUACCGGAAGGUG
rnacentral:rRNA from 1 species